AACGAACGCUGGCGGCGUGGAUAAAACAUGCAAGUCAAACGGGACUUUUUCAAAUAGCAAUAUUUGGAAAAGUUUAGGGGCGAACGGGUGCGUAACACGUGGGCAAUCUGCCAAGAAGGGGGGGAUAGCUCGCCAAAAGGCGAAUUAAUACCGCAUAUGAUCAGGGACAACAUCUUCCCAACAUCAAAGCCGGGGUAACCUGGCGCUUCUUGAUGAGCCCGCGGCCUAUCACCUAGUUGGUGAGGUAACGGCCCACCAAGGCAAUGACGGGUAGCUGGUCUGAAAGGACAACCAGUCACACUGGAACUGAGACACGGUCCAAACACCUACGGGGGGCAGCAGUCGAGAAUUUUUCUCAAGGGGCGAAAGCCUGAAGGAGCGACGCCGCGGGGGGGAUGAAUGGCUUCGGCCCGUAAACCCCUGUCAUUUGCAAACAAACCUUACAACUUAAUAGGUCGUGAGCUGAUUGUAGCGAAAGAGGAAGGGACGGCUAACUCUGUG
rnacentral:rRNA from 1 species